AACGAACGCUGGCGGCGUGCCUAACACAUGCAAGUCGUGCGAGAAAGUUCCUUCGGGAGCGAGUAAAGCGGCGCACGGGUGAGUAACACGUAGGUAACCUGCCCCCCAGUCUGGAACAACUAGAGGAAACUCUAGCUAAUGCCGGAUGAGACCACGAUCCCUUCGGGGGUUGCGGCCAAAGAUGGCCUCUACUUGUAAGCUAUCGCUGAGGGAUGGGCCUGCGGGCCAUUAGCUUGUUGGUGAGGUAACGGCUCACCAAGGCUGUGAUGGCUAGCUGGUCUGAGAGGAUGACCAGCCACACUGGGACUGAGACACGGCCCAGACUCCUACGGGAGGCAGCAGUGGGGAAUAUUGCGCAAUGGGCGAAAGCCUGACGCAGCGACGCCGCGUGGGUGAUGAA
rnacentral:rRNA from 1 species